AACGAACGCUGGCGGCAGGCUUAACACAUGCAAGUCGAGCGCCUCGCAAGGGGAGCGGCAGACGGGUGAGUAACACGUGGGAAUCUACCCAUCUCUACGGAAUAACUCAGGGAAACUUGUGCUAAUACCGUAUACGCCCUUCGGGGGAAAGAUUUAUCGGAGAUGGAUGAGCCCGCGUUGGAUUAGCUAGUUGGUGGGGUAAUGGCCUACCAAGGCGACGAUCCAUAGCUGGUCUGAGAGGAUGAUCAGCCACACUGGGACUGAGACACGGCCCAGACUCCUACGGGAGGCAGCAGUGGGGAAUAUUGGACAAUGGGCGAAAGCCUGAUCCAGCCAUGCCGCGUGAGUGAUGAAGGCCCUAGGGUUGUAAAGCUCUUUCACCGGUGAAGAUAAUGACGGUAACCGGAGAAGAAGCCCCGGCUAACUUCGUGCCAGCCGCCGCCGUAAAAC
rnacentral:rRNA from 1 species